UGAUUGGGGUGAAGUCGUAACAAGGUAGCCGUAUCGGAAGGUGCGGCUGGAUCACCUCCUUUCUAGGGAUAGCGGUGAGGUGCAAGUAACCAGUGACCCGCAGAUUUCCGAAUGGGGAAACCCGGCAGUAGUAGUACUGUCACCUCUCGUAUGAGAGGAGGGCACCCGGUGAACUGAAACAUCUAAGUAGCCGGAGGAAGAGGAAUCAAAAGAGAUGCCCCCAGUAGCGGCGAGCGAAGCGGGCAAAGCCCAAACCGGAGCGGGAAACCGCACCGGGGUUGAGGACUACCAACAAGUACCUAGAUGAAGUCGAAUCAGGUGGGAACCUGAGCCAGAGACGGUGAGAGCCCGGUAGACGUAAAGAAGGGUAUGGGGUAGUAUCCAGAGUACCACGGGGCACGAGGAACCUUGUGGGAAGCAGGGGGGACCACCCUCCAAGGCGAAAUACUGAUAUGGACCGAUAGCGCAUAGUACCGUGAGGGAAAGGUGAAAAGAACCCCGGGAGGGGAAUGAAAGAGAACCUGAAACCGUAUGUCUACAAGCAGUCGAAGCACCGUAUGCGUGCGACGGCGUGCCUAUUGAAGAAUGAACCGGCGAGUUAUUUCAUCCGGCGAGGUUAAGCGGAAAACGCGGAGCCGAAGCGAAAGCGAGUCUGAACAGGGCGAUAAGUCGGAUGGAAUAGACCCGAAACCACAGUGAUCUAUCCAUGCCCAGGUUGAAGCACAGGUAAAAAUGUGUGGAGGACCGAACCAGUGAGCGUUGAAAAGCUUUUGGAUGAGGUGUGGAUAGGGGUGAAAUGCCAAUCGAACGUGGAGAUAGCUGGUUCUCCCCGAAAUAGCUUUAGGGCUAGCCUCAUGGCAAGAGUGCAGGCGGUAGAGCACUGAACAGGGUAGGGGCCUAUCCGGCUACCGAACCUAAUCAAACUACGAAUGGCUGUACUUAUCCAUGGGAGUCAGACUGCGAGUGAUAAGACCCGUAGUCAAGAGGGAAACAGCCCAGACCAACAGCUAAGGUCCCCAAUGCCGUACUAAGUGGUAAAGGAUGUGGAGUUUCGAAAACAACCAGGAUGUUGGCUUAGAAGCAGCCACCAUUAAAAGAGUGCGUAAUAGCUCACUGGUCGAGAGACUCUGCGCCGAAGAUGACCGGGGCUAAAGUACGGAACCGAAGCUUUGGCAUGUAUGUAAAUACAUGGGUAGGGGAGCGUUCCUGCAUGGGCGAAGCCUGACCGGAAGGACAGGUGGACAGGCAGGAAGUGAGAAUGCCGGUAUGAGUAGCGAAAAGAAAGGUGAGAAUCCUUUCCACCGAAAGCCUAAGGGUUCCUGGGCAACGAUCGUCGACCCAGGGUAAGUCGGGACCUAAUCCGAGGCGAAGACGCAUAGGAGAUGGACAACAGGUUGAAAUUCCUGUACCGACGUCGUCUGUUUGAGCGAUGGAGUGACACAAGAAGGAAAGUUCGCAUGCGAUUGGAAGAGCAUGUCUAAGCUAAGGUGCGCGGGAAAACCCUCGUUAAGGAACUCGGCAAAAUGUAUCCGUAACUUCGGGAAAAGGAUAACCCAGAGUACGUGAAGGAAAGAAACAUCCGGAGCGGGAAUGGGUGGCACAAGAGAGGCCCAAGCGACUGUUUACCACAAACACAGGCGUCUGCUAAAGAGAAAUCUGAUGUAUAGAUGCUGACACCUGCCCGGUGCUGGAAGGUUAAGAGGACGUGUUAGCCGCAAGGCGAAGCAGAGAAUUGAAGCCCCAGUAAACGGCGGCCGUAACUAUAACGGUCCUAAGGUAGCGAAAUUCCUUGUCGGGUAAGUUCCGACCCGCACGAAAGGUGUAACGAUUUGGGCACUGUCUCAACGAGGGACCCGGUGAAAUUGAAGUACCUGUGAAGAUGCAGGUUACCCGCGACUGGACAGAAAGACCCCAUGGAGCUUUACUGUAACCUGAGAUUGAAUUUUGGUAGAAGAUGUACAGGAUAGUUGGGAGACGUAGAAGCGCGCACGCCAGUGUACGCAGAGUCGAUGGUGGGAUACCAACCUUGUUUUAUUGAAAUUCUAACGAGAGCCGUAACGAGGCUGCGGACAGUCUCAGGCGGGCAGUUUGACUGGGGCGGUCGCCUCCGAAAGAGCAACGGAGGCGCCCAAAGGUUCCCUCAGCGCGGACGGAAACCGCGCGAAGAGUGUAAAGGCAGAAGGGAGCUUGACUGCGAGACGGACAGGUCGAGCAGGGACGAAAGUCGGGCUUAGUGAUCCGGUGGUAGAGAGUGGAAUUGCCAUCGCUCAACGGAUAAAAGCUACCCUGGGGAUAACAGGCUUAUCUCUCCCAAGAGUCCAUAUCGACGGGGAGGUUUGGCACCUCGAUGUCGGCUCAUCACAUCCUGGGGCUGUAGUAGGUCCCAAGGGUUGGGCUGUUCGCCCAUUAAAGUGGUACGCGAGCUGGGUUCAGAACGUCGUGAGACAGUUCGGUCCCUAUCCAUCGCGGGCGCAAGAAACUUGAAAGGGGCUGCUCCUAGUACGAGAGGACCGGAGUGGACGAACCAAUGGUGUAUCGGUUAUGCCGCCAGGCGUACAGCCGAGUAGCUACGUUCGGGACGGAUAAACGCUGAAAGCAUCUAAGCGUGAAACCAGCCUAAAGAUGAGGUUUCUCAUUGC
rnacentral:rRNA from 1 species